rnacentral:rRNA from 1 species
CUUAGUAACGGCGAGUGAAGCGGCAAAUUGCUCAAAUUUGAAAUCUGGCCUAGCCCGAAUUGUAAUUUGAAGAGGUUAUGUUUUGGUUGAUUGGGCUGAAUAAGUUUGUUGGAAUACAACGUCUUAGAGGGUGAGAAUCCCGUAAUUCAGCCCAGGCUACCUUGUAAACUGGCCUCGAAGAGUCGAGUUGUUUGGGAAUGCAGCUCUAAUUGGGUGGUAAAUUCCAUCUAAAGCUAAAUAUUGACGAGAGACCGAUAGCGAACAAGUACAGUGAUGGAAAGAUGAAAAGAACUUUGAAAAGAGAGUGAAAAAGUACGUGAAAUUGUUGAAAGGGAAGGGUUUUAGGGGAGACUUGGGCUCUAACGAUCAAUCAGGCUUAGGCCUGGUGUACGCGUUAGUUUCUGGGCCAGUAUGGGUUUAAAUAGUGGGAUAAAAGAUUAAUAAUGUGGCUACUCCGGUAGUGUUAUAGAUUAUUCUAAUACCACUCAUUUAGACCAAGGAAUGAGAAUUCUAGGAUACUGGCGUAAUCCCCUUAAA